rnacentral:rRNA from 1 species
UACUAGAGUAGCACUCGCAUAUCAAUAAGCGGAGGAAAAGAAACUAACAAGGAUUCCCCUAGUAACGGCGAGUGAAGCGGGAAGAGCUCAAAUUUGAAAUCUUAAAGGGUUUCCCUUUACGAAUUGUAGUUUAAAGAAGUGUUUUCUGUUGAGGUUUUGGUAAAAGUUCUUUGGAAUAGGACAUCAUAGAGGGUGAGAAUCCCGUAUUUGACCUUUACUUUCAACUUUGUGAUACACUUUCAAAGAGUCGGAUUGUUUGGGAAUGCAGUCCAAAAUGGGUGGUAAAUCUCAUCUAAAGCUAAAUAUUGGCGAGAGACCGAUAGCGAACAAGUACCGUGAGGGAAAGAUGAAAAGAACUUUGAAAAGAGAGUUAAACAGUACGUGAAAUUGUCAAAAGGGAAGCGUUUGACACCAGUGUUGUUUUUCUGAAAAUCAAUUAAUAGAACUGUUUAUGCUAAGUUGUUUAGGACUUUAUCAGCUAUCUGUUUAGUUUUGAGCUUUUCUUUAAUGCACUUUUCAGUUAACAAGUCAACAUCAAUUUCUUUUGCUGUAAAAAAGCUUGAGGAAGGUGGCUUGAGAUUCGUCUUAAGUGUUUAUAGCCUCUUGCCUAUGCAGUCGGAGAGAUUGAGGUCUGCAGCGUAGAUCCUUCGGGGCUAAAUGCAUUUGUGCUAAGUUAUAGCAUUUUAUAGACAACUUGUUGACUAUGAUUUGUCUUGUAGCUUACUCGCUUAUGUUAUUUUACCUACGCUUAGGAUGUUGAGCGCAUGUCUCUCUCU